rnacentral:tRNA from 1 species
UCUAACAUGGCAGAUUAGUGCAAUGAAUUUAAGCUUCAUAAAUAGAAAUCAAUUUCUUAUUAGAA